rnacentral:piRNA from 1 species
UACAUACCUAAAUGUACCUGCUCAGUUC